AGCAGUAGCCGCGGGAAUACGGAGGGUGCAAGCGUUAAUCGGAAUUACUGGGCGUAAAGCGCACGCAGGCGGUCUGUCAAGUCAGAUGUGAAAUCCCCGGGCUUAACCUGGGAACUGCAUUUGAAACUGGCAGGCUAGAGUCUUGUAGAGGGGGGUAGAAUUCCAGGUGUAGCGGUGAAAUGCGUAGAGAUCUGGAGGAAUACCGGUGGCGAAGGCGGCCCCCUGGACAAAGACUGACGCUCAGGUGCGAAAGCGUGGGGAGCAAACAGGAUUAGAGACCCCGGUAGUCCCUGUCUCUUAUAC
rnacentral:rRNA from 1 species